ensembl:lncRNA
AUGCAUGCAUAUGCAUAUUCUUGUGACAUUUGCAUCUGUUUUUUACCGUUGUGUUCUGCUGGCUUUGCUUUUAUUGACAGAAAUAUGCGCAAAACAGCUCUCCGGCAGUCUGACUCUUCCAGUCCCGAAACAGGCUACAGGCGUGGUGAUACAGGCCCAAAUAUGCGUCAAAAACGAGAACCCACACCUAAGGAGACAGAGGUCACACGCCGCUUUUCUUUAGCCUCGACUGUCAGCUCCUCCUCUGCACCGCGCAAUAAAGUUCCUCUCUCCUCUAGCCUUAAGAGCAAGAGGCAUCAGAUCAAGAGCGACCCUACACCGUUCGGCUAUGAAGGAUGGAAUCAACGGCGUCUGCCAUCAAUGGACGCUGAGGAUUUUGAGACCAUUCCAUCAAGUGCUGAAGAACUCUCCAUUUCCUCAGAUGGAGAGGAUGAAGGACAUAACAAAAACGGGGAUAACGAUCGCUAUCAGGUGCAGCUGACGUACGAGUCAGGUACUGCUCAGGAGCUUUCCGUCGAGGCAGGAGAUUUAGUACAGUUCCUAGAAGAGUCGGAGAACGGCCACUGAUAUUUUCAGUGACCUCUGCACCGCUGCCCUCACUGAUACAGAGGAGGCAGAUGACAGCACCUGGCCGCGUCCUGCUCAGGACGGCAGAUUUGCAUGCUGAACGCACCGUGAUGUGUCCUCGCUUUCAGUAGCGCCAUGCUUAUACACCAUACUCAACAACAGCUCGAUAUCUUUUGUAAUACUACACAGACAUCUGCUCCGCUGAAGGAAUAGGUGAACUGACCGAUCAGAACUGAUUCCACAUAACACUGACAACAUUCUGUAGUCGUGAGUCAGAAAUUCAGCAUGCAGCCUUCGCCCUUUCCCUCUGCUGUGCCUUAGCUGCAAACGCAGGGGCAUCUGAAAAGAAAUAUCCGGAUCUCUGUGAACUCCGGACGCUGAUAUCUGAACCGAGGCUGCCAUUUGAAAACACUGAGAAGAAGAGACUCUAGACCUUUCUGUCCUGCUGAAACUUUCACUGAAAUGCUUUUAAAGGGAUAGUUCACUCAAAAAUGAUCAUUUACUCACUAUCAUGUUACUCCAAACCUCUAUGAAUUUCUUUCUUCUGCUAAAGAAGAUAUUUUGAAGAAACAGCCACUGACUUGCAUAGUAUUUUUUCAAUGGCUACCAGCAAUUGUUUUCAUUUUUGAGUGAACAGUUCCUUCAAAUAUACUUGAUUGUUUUGUUGUUUAUUGCUUGUUUGCUUAUGAGACUGUUGGUCAGAAUCACAGCACUUUUGAUGAAUUAAUAUUCUCUAAUGUCAUGUACAAUAUUUAUACUCUCUUUUAUAUUCUGACAUGAAAGUUGUAUGAGCCAUCUGUAAAGCUUUGUUCCUCUGCUGUUUGUAAAGCUGAAUAUCUUUAAUCCUCUUCAAAUAUUUUCCUCUAUUCAUCUCUAUCAUGGUCUGGUUGUACAUAAAUAAUCUCGAAACGUAGUAAAACUGUGGGAUAUUUACUCUGGAGAUGUUUUUAUAUGUAUUUCAGAAAAUAUGAAUGUUGUAGCAUAAAUAUUCCAGCUGUACUGUAAAGCAUCUGAUACUGUUAUUUGAAUUAAUGUUUGUGCUAAACGAAUAUACAGAAAUCAGAUGUACUGUAUCCUUCCUGCUUUGACAUGAAGAACUGGAUGACAGUGAAUGUCGUAAUGAUGCCAAAAGUUUUGUCUCAUAACCGCAGAUAUCCACAUAUGAUUGCGAUUUAACGAUGGUAUAGUUUAAUUACUUUCUGAUAGUUUCUUAAAUGAAAAUAUCUAAGCACAAAGAUUUGAUAUUGAAUGCUGUUGUGAUUCUUGGUAGUAUCAUCAUUCUGUUCAUUUUUAUGUGAAUAUUUCGAUUUUCACAGCUUCCUUACAGACGAUAUGUAUUACAUAACUGUACAUUUCCAAAUGCAUAAUCAAAUACAUUCAUUAUAAAACAAUGUCUGUGACUUUGCAUAUGGAGACUAUUAAAGCCAACCUGAUAUAAGUUAGAAACGUCAUGAAGAUGUAAUGACAUUUUUCAAAUGUUCUCCAUAGACUUCUUUCCAAGAACUUUCAGGUUGAAAACUGGCCCAUCAGGCUGUUUUUGGUUGAAAUUAGAAGCUUUUUAAGAGAGUGUGUGACACUAAAGUGUGCAUUUAAAAGAGGAGGACAGAAACGAGAGAGAGGGCCAGGCAAGAUUCACUGGGCUUUGUUCUACAGAGGGUGUCUUUCAAACUCCCAAAAACUCCUGAGGCGCGGAAGAGAAGGAAAGAGAGUGGAGAGAGCAGGACAUAAAGACCCAGAGAGAUGUGACAAGCAUUGAAACUGAAUUUUAAAAAAGUGCACUCAAGCUGCCUUCACUUUGUCCUUGGGUUUGGCUUCAGGUGUCUAAAGAUUUUGAAGACACCUGGCAGUCUAUUUAUCAUGAGUCAUUGUCCCCCGAAAGCAGGCGGGGCAGAAGAAAGAAGGAGACUUCGGUCAGCAGGAAAGGGAUGAGCGGAGGGCAGGCCGAGUCUCAUUGCUCGGGUUAAAGGAAGUUAAUGGGCUGACAUCACAUCAGGACAGUGCAGGAUGAUGGGUUUUAUUUUUUAUAACAUGGCUUUUUUUUUUUUUUUUUUUUGACAAGAAUGUUCAGAUUUAAGAUGUGAACGAAUGAGAAGGAAAAAAAUUACAUUUCAUAAUUGAAUCAUGCAUUCACUUGUUCAAUAAGACAUUGACUUGAUUUAGUUUCAUUAACAACUUAUCAUAAUCUACCAUGGUAAUCAUAGCUUCCAUUAAAAUACUAUUACUACAGUAGUUGCCAUAAUAAAC